UUUCUUAUGGGUAAUUUGUUAAAUUCCUCUUCUUAUGUUGUAAGGAAAAGUAGGUGCAGACCUAUUAAUGAAU
rnacentral:tRNA from 1 species